GGUCCGUUAGCUCAGCUGGAUAGAGUACACGCCUCCGAAGCGUGGGGUCACAGGUUCAAAUCCUGUACGGACCACCA
rnacentral:tRNA from 1 species